rnacentral:rRNA from 1 species
AGUGAACGCUGGCGGCGUGCCUAACACAUGCAAGUCGAACGGGCUAGUGCUUCGCACUAGUCUCUUUCUGGGGUUGCUACUCUAAGGCUACCUGCUAAAGUUAUUGCUUUAAAGCAGGGGUUUUAGGGGACCUUCCCCAAAAGGGGCCAGUGCGGAGCACUGGCCAGUGGCGAACGGGUGAGUAACACGUGGGUAAUCUGCCCUCGAGUGGGGAAUAAGCUCCCGAAAGGGGGUCUAAUACCGCAUGACGUUUCAUAACGAUGGUUAUGAAACCAAAGCCCAAAAGGCGCUUGAGGAGGAGCCUGCGUCCUAUCAGCUUGUUGGCAGGGUAAUGGCCUACCAAGGCUAUGACGGGUAGCCGGCCUGAGAGGGUGUCCGGCCACACUGGAACUGAGACACGGUCCAGACUCCUACGGGAGGCAGCAGCGGGGAAUUUUGCGCAAUGGGGGAAAACCCUGACGCAGCGACGCCGCGUGGAGGAUGACGGCCUCGUGUAGUACUCGUCUACGUAGGACGAAGACGAACCG